UAGGUUACUCGCUCCGCCUAGGUUAGAAAUUAAUCGUGUUUCAUCGUGGCUCCGUCCCCACCUCCGCCGUCCCGCCGCCCCGGCCGCCGCCGUCCCAACCUAGGCACCGUCGACCGCGCGAAAUUUGUACAAAUUCAUGUUAUUGCUAGAAAUUCGUACAAAUUCAUGUUAUUGAUAGAAAUUCCAAUAAAUAUGGACAAAUUAGUAGAAAUUUGGUAGAAAUUAAUCGUUGUCGCGGCCUCCUCGCUCCGUCCCCGCCUCCGCCAUCCCGCCGCCCAAGCCGCCUCCAUCCCAACCUAGGCACCGUCGACCGCGCGAAAUUCGUACAAAUUCAUGUUAUUGCUAGAAAUUCGUACAAAAUUCAUGUUAUUGCUAGAAAUUCGUACAAAUUCAUGUUAUUGCUAGAAAUUCGUACAAAUUCAUGUUAUUGCUAUAAUUCCAAUAAAUAUGGACAAAUUAGUAGAAAUUUGGUAGAAAUUAAUCGUUGCCGCGGCCACCUCGCUCCGUCCCCGCCUCCGCCGUCCCGCCGCCCCGGCCGCCGCCAUCCCAACCUAGGCACCGUCGACCACGCGAAAUUCGUACAAAUUCAUGUUAUUGCUAGAAAUUUGUACAAAAUUCAUGUUAUUGCUAGAAAUUCAUACAAAUUCAUGUUAUUGCUAGAAAUUCGUACAAAUUCAUGUUAUUGCUAGAAAUUCCAAUAAAUAUGGACAAAUUAGUAGAAAUUUGGUAGAAAUUCAUACAAAGUACUACUAAUUUGUUGAAAUUUUUAUAAACAUUCCGAACUUUGUGGGAUUC
rnacentral:lncRNA from 1 species